rnacentral:tRNA from 1 species
GCCUGGGUGGUUCAGUUGGUUGGGCGUCUGACUUUGGCUCAGGUUAUGAUCUCGUGCAGUUUGUGGGUUCGAGCCCUGCCUUGGGCU